rnacentral:rRNA from 1 species
ACUUGGAUAACCGUAGUAAUUCUAGAGCUAAUACAUGCAAAAAAUCCGGACCUUUUAGGGAUGGAUGAAUUUAUUAGAUUAGAACCAGCGCAAAGUCUUUUGGCUUUGAGUUAUGGUGAUUCAUAAUAACUAAUCGAAUCGCAGAGACUUUUAGUCGGCGAUGAUACAUACAAAUUUCUGCCCUAUCAACUUUCGAUGGUAGUAUAGAGGACUACCAUGGUUGUAACGGGUAACGGGGAAUUAGGGUUCGAUUCCGGAGAGGGGGCCUGAGAGAUGGCCACCACUUCCAAGGAAGGCAGCAGGCGCGCAAAUUACCCAAUCCCAAUUCGGGGAGGUAGUGACAAGAAAUACCAGUACAGGGCCCAAUGGGUACUGUGAUUGGAAUGAAUACAAUUUAAAAAUCUUAAUGAGGAACGAUUGGAGGGCAAGUCUGGUGCCAGCAGCCGCGGUAAUUCCAGCUCCAAUAGUGUAUAUUAAAGUUGCUGCAGUUAAAAAGCUCGUAGUUGGAUUUCGGAUAAUAAAAAUUUAAUAUCCAUCCUUAAAAUGUGAUUUAAUUUUUAUUUCCUUCCUUUUGAAUACACUCCCUAAACUUUUUUAGGGAAUCAAGUGUUUCAAAUCGUUUACUGUGAAGAAAUUAGAGUGUUCAAAGCAGGCGUAACCUAGCCUUUGAAUAUAUUAGCAUGGGAUAAUGAAAUAGGACUUUAGUCCUACUUUCGUUGGUUUCUAGGGCUGAAGUAAUGAUUAAUAGGGAUAGUUGGGGUCACUAGUAUUUAAUUGUCAGAGGUGAAAUUCUAAGAUUUAUUAAAGACUAACUACUGCGAAAGCAUUUGACAAGGAUGUUUUCAUUAAUCAAGAACGAAAGUUGGGGGAUCGAAGAUGAUCAGAUACCGUCGUAGUCUCAACCAUAAACUAUGCCGACCAAGGAUCCGGGGUUGUUAAUAUGGAUGACUCUCCGGGCACUUAUAGAGAAAUCAUAAGUAUUUGGGCUCCGGGGGGAGUAUGGUCGCAAGGCUGAAACUUAAAGGAAUUGACGGAAGGGCACCACAAGGAGUGGAACCUGCGGUUUAAUUUGACCCAACACGGGGAAACUUACCAGGUCCAGACACAGUGAGGAUUGACAGAUUGAGAGUUCUUUCUUGAUUCUGUGAGUGGUGGUGCAUGGCCGUUUCUAGUUGGUGGAGUGAUUUGUCUGGUUAAUUCCGUUAACGAACGAGACCUUAACCUAUUAAAUAGUUGUUUGAACUUGAUUUUUUAAAUCAAAUGUUCAAUUAACUUCUUAGAGGGACUCU